rnacentral:misc_RNA from 1 species
AACGCACGAGACCUGCGGACCUGCGGAAGGAUCAUUAGUGAACGCCCUCACGGGCUUAUAACUAUUCCAAACCUCUGUGAACCGUGCCCUUCGGGGCUAUUUUACAAACAUGGUGUAAUGAACGUCAUAUAUCAUAACAAAACGAAACUUUCAACAACGGAUCUCU